ACGGGGUGCAGCAGGCGCGAAAACUUUGCAAUGUGCGAAAGCACGACAAGGUUAAUCCGAGUGGUUUCUGCUAAAGAAACCUUUUGUCAGUCCUAGAAACACUAACGAAUAAGGGGUGGGCAAGUUCUGGUGUCAGCCGCCGCGGUAAAACCAGCACCUCAAGUGGUCAGGAUGAUUAUUGGGCCUAAAGCAUCCGUAGCUCGUUUUGUAAGUUUUCGGUUAAAUCCAUGCGCUUAACGUAUGGGCUGCCGGGAAUACUGCAUAACUAGGAAGUGGGAGAGGUAGACGGUACUCGGUAGGAAGGGGUAAAAUCCGUUGAUCCAUUGAAGACCACCAGUGGCGAAGGCGGUCUACCAGAACACGUUCGACGGUGAGGGAUGAAAGCUGGGGGAGCAAACCGGAUUAGAUACCCGGGUAGUCCCAGCUGUAAACUAUGCAAACUCAGUGAUGCAUUGGCUUGUGGCCAAUGCAGUGCUGCAGGGAAGCCGUUAAGUUUGCCGCCUGGGAAGUACGUACGCAAGUAUGAAACUUAAAGGAAUUGGCGGGGGAGCAC
rnacentral:rRNA from 1 species